CAGCCGCCGCGGUAACACGUAGGGCGCAAGCGUUAUCCGGAAUUAUUGGGCGUAAAGAGCUCGUAGGCGGUUUGUCGCGUCUGCCGUGAAAGUCCGGGGCUCAACCCCGGAUCUGCGGUGGGUACGGGCAGACUAGAGUGAUGUAGGGGAGACUGGAAUUCCUGGUGUAGCGGUGAAAUGCGCAGAUAUCAGGAGGAACACCGAUGGCGAAGGCAGGUCUCUGGGCAUUAACUGACGCUGAGGAGCGAAAGCAUGGGGAGCGAACAGGAUUAGAUACCCCCGUAGUCCCUGUCUCUUAUAC
rnacentral:rRNA from 1 species